rnacentral:rRNA from 1 species
AGAGUUUGAUCCUGGCUCAGGAUGAACGCUAGCUACAGGCUUAACACAUGCAAGUCGAGGGGCAGCAUGGUCUUAGCUUGCUAAGGCCGAUGGCGACCGGCGCACGGGUGAGUAACACGUAUCCAACCUGCCGUCUACUCUUGGACAGCCUUCUGAAAGGAAGAUUAAUACAAGAUGGCAUCAUGAGUCCGCAUGUUCACAUGAUUAAAGGUAUUCCGGUAGACGAUGGGGAUGCGUUCCAUUAGAUAGUAGGCGGGGUAACGGCCCACCUAGUCUUCGAUGGAUAGGGGUUCUGAGAGGAAGGUCCCCCACAUUGGAACUGAGACACGGUCCAAACUCCUACGGGAGGCAGCAGUGAGGAAUAUUGGUCAAUGGGCGAGAGCCUGAACCAGCCAAGUAGCGUGAAGGAUGAAGGCUCUAUGGGUCGUAAACUUCUUUUAUAUAAGAAUAAAGUGCAGUAUGUAUACUGUUUUGUAUGUAUUAUAUGAAUAAGGAUCGGCUAACUCCGUGCCAGCAGCCGCGGUAAUACGGAGGAUCCGAGCGUUAUCCGGAUUUAUUGGGUUUAAAGGGAGCGUAGAUGGAUGUUUAAGUCAGUUGUGAAAGUUUGCGGCUCAACCGUAAAAUUGCAGUUGAUACUGGAUAUCUUGAGUGCAGUUGAGGCAGGCGGAAUUCGUGGUGUAGCGGUGAAAUGCUUAGAUAUCACGAAGAACUCCGAUUGCGAAGGCAGCUCACUGGACUGCAACUGACACUGAUGCUCGAAAGUGUGGGUAUCAAACAGGAUUAGAUACCCUGGUAGUCCACACAGUAAACGAUGAAUACUCGCUGUUUGCGAUAUACAGUAAGCGGCCAAGCGAAAGCAUUAAGUAUUCCACCUGGGGAGUACGCCGGCAACGGUGAAACUCAAAGGAAUUGACGGGGGCCCGCACAAGCGGAGGAACAUGUGGUUUAAUUCGAUGAUACGCGAGGAACCUUACCCGGGCUUAAAUUGCAGAUGAAUUACGGUGAAAGCCGUAAGCCGCAAGGCAUCUGUGAAGGUGCUGCAUGGUUGUCGUCAGCUCGUGCCGUGAGGUGUCGGCUUAAGUGCCAUAACGAGCGCAACCCUUGUUGUCAGUUACUAACAGGUUCCGCUGAGGACUCUGACAAGACUGCCAUCGUAAGAUGUGAGGAAGGUGGGGAUGACGUCAAAUCAGCACGGCCCUUACGUCCGGGGCUACACACGUGUUACAAUGGGGGGUACAGAAGGCAGCUAGCGGGUGACCGUAUGCUAAUCCCAAAAUCCUCUCUCAGUUCGGAUCGAAGUCUGCAACCCGACUUCGUGAAGCUGGAUUCGCUAGUAAUCGCGCAUCAGCCACGGCGCGGUGAAUACGUUCCCGGGCCUUGUACACACCGCCCGUCAAGCCAUGGGAGCCGGGGGUACCUGAAGUGCGUAACCGCGAGGAGCGCCCUAGGGUAAAACUGGUGACUGGGGCUAAGUCGUAACAAGGUAGCCGUACCGGAAGGUGCGGCUG